rnacentral:rRNA from 1 species
GUAGGGUGGCAAGCGUUGUCCGGAAUUAUUGGGCGUAAAGCGCGCGCAGGCGGUCCUUUAAGUCUGGGUGUGAAAGCCCACGGCUCAACCGUGGAGGGUCAUUGGAAACUGGGGGACUUGAGUACAGAAGAGGAAAGCGGAAUUCCAAGUGUAGCGGUGAAAUGCGUAGAGGUUUGGAGGAACACCAGUGGCGAAGGCGGCUUUCUGGUCUGUAACUGACGCUGAGGCGCGAAAGCGUGGGGAGCAAACAGGAUUAGAUACCCUGGUAGUCCACGCCGUAAACGAUGAGUGCUAAGUGUUAGGGGGUUUCCGCCCCUUAGUGCUGCAGCUAACGCAUUAAGCACUCCGCCUGGGGAGUACGGCCGCAAAGGCUG